UGCACUUCCGGGUUGGUGCUAACCUGCGCAUGCUCCGAGGCUGGAGUCCUUUAUUCGGCGCUUUCCUACUCAUUUCCGGGUAAGACUGCUGCUGGCCCGGCAGCUUGUCCCUGGUCCCGAGUCACACCUGUUUGGGUUCUGCGUCUGUGCAGGAAGGCAUCUUCAGGCCCCACUCGAGGGCUGCCUGCCCACUUUCUCACAAUACAGGUCCUGGAGGGCCCGUGCGCACCGAGAGAUUGGUUUCCUGUGAAAAAGCUUUCCAGUGGUUAUCGAGGAUGCAGCCCUGAAUAAAAUAGAACUGCCCUGUGGCACUCAGCUCGAACUGGGGAGACACACAUUAGCUCUGCCUCUUUUCUGGGUGGACACAUGUAUGGUGAUUUGGAUUCCAGUCCCAAUUCUGCUGGGUGACCCUGGACAAAUAAGUGGCUUCAGUUUCCUCAUGUGUAAAAUUGGGGUUGCCUUGGAGAUUUGAUGACCUCAUGCAUGAAGAGCAUGGGUCUGGCCCACGGUAAGCACUUAACUUGCUAUUAUCGUCAUCGUGAUCAUUCCUGUGUGACUAGCAUACGGAGUAGGUAGAAACAUGGGGUCUGAAACCAGUCAGACCUGAGCUGAGUCCCUGCAUUGUUAUGUGACCUUGAUAAGGUCAGUUUACAUCCCUGAGCCUCAGGUUCCUUUUCUGUAAAGGGGCUGAAUGAUAAUGCCCCCCUUCUAGACCUGGUUGUGAGAAUUCAGUGAAGUCAUGAAUGCGAAGUCCUUAGGACAUAGUCAUUCAGCCUAGGACAUAGUAAUUGCUCAGUAAACAGGGCCUAAAUGCUAAGACUAACUUGAGUUUUCUUUUCUGUGGCUGUUUGGGGAGCAGAAUUAUUACUUAAAAUAAGACUUUAUAUUUUUGUUAUAAAAUCAUACAUAGCCAUUGAAAAAAUGUAAACAGUACAGAAUUGUUUAGUAGCAGAAUGCAAGUUGACUUACUUCCCUUUCCCCUAAUUCCUUAAGUAACCACUGUUGACUGUUGCAUAGCUUUCAGAAUUACACACACACACACACACACACACACACACACACACACCUGUGUGCAUGCGUGGACAUGCUCUUCUUGAGGAGGCCGUAUACGAGAAUGGCUGAGAGUUCAGAUUCCAGAGUCACACAGGCCCGGGUUCUAGUCCUACCCCUGCCACUUAGUUACUGUGAGGUGGCUGGCAAGUUCUUUAAUGAUCACUCUUGAGUCUCAGUUUCCCUUUCUAUAAGGGGAAAAGUCAUGGCAGUGCCGGUGAUGAGCAUAAGGCAGGCUGAAGGCAAAAUACAAGCUAGCACCCCCGCCCCCCUCCGGUCAAGUGGGAUGUUUGUGACAUUCCUUAGGCCCUUCUGGCUGCCCAAGGACAAAGGAAAGGAAAGAAAGCAAAUGGUUAAUUGAUAGAGAUCACAGUCCUGCAGGACCUGAGUCUCCAUCAGUUUGUAAAUAUCUUAGUAAAUUACAAGAAAAAGGCAAUCUUAUCAACUGCCUAAUCUCCAGAAACCUGUAGACUCAGUUUCCCGAAACCCCAACAUCACCCCUUCAUAGUGAUAUGAGGAACAAAGGCAAGAAGGAAAUGGCAGAAAAUUAAAUUUCCUCAUAACCUGCUGCCCACUGACAAAUACUUGAGGCAAAUUCAGAGUAGAACAUUUCUCCAGGAACCCCCUGCCGUCAUAAUGUUAAUGCCUUACUAGAGGGAAAAUAACCUUAGCUUGACAACAGCAAGGCCUCAAGUAUCUUAGGAGUCCUCUUUAGCAUAUCAAAGUUCUUCUGGAGGCCUCCCAUUUGACUUUACCUUCCCAACUUUAGAGUAUAUUUCUGCCCGUGGGUCCUGUCCCCGUGCUUUAAUAAAAUCACAUUUUUGCACCAAAGACAUCUUCAAGAAUUCUUUCUUGGCCUUCCGCUCUGGACCAUCCCCACGAAAACCUCCCCAUCGCCCCCAAAAAACCUCAUCACCGGUGUGCUUUGGUGAGGAGCUGAAUAGCGUGUGCUGAAAAGAUCAGUGCCGUCUGCGUGUGCGAAGGUCUCCGAACGCUUAGCUGCUUUACUACGUGCAGGCAUGCUUCAUUUGUGUGUUGUUUUUUUGCACUUUGAAGAUAACCGCGUUUAUUUUUACAAAUUGAAGGUUUGUGGCAACCCUGUGUUGAGCAAGUCCAUCGGCGCCAUUUUUCCAACAGCAUGUGCAGACUUCGUGUCUCUGUGUCACAUUUUGGUAUUUCUUACAAUAUUUCAAACGUUUUCUUUAUUAUUGUAUUUGUUAUGGUGACCCGUGAUCGGUGAUGAUGACUCACUAAAAACUCAGAUGACGGUUAGCGUUUUUUAGCAACACAGUAGGUUUUAAUGAAGAUACG